rnacentral:rRNA from 1 species
GGUCAGUAGGUUGGUCGUGCCACCGGUACGUACUGGUCUCACUGAUUCCUCCUUCCUGAAGAACCGUAAUGCCAUUAAUUUGGUGUUGCGGGGAAACAGGACUGUUACUUUGAGAAAAUUAGAGUGUUUAAAGCAAGCUAACGCUUGAAUACAUUAGCAUGGAAUAAUGAAAUAGGACGAUCGAUCCUAUUUUGCUGGUUUCUAGGAUUGACGUA